rnacentral:rRNA from 1 species
AUUGAACGCUGGCGGCAGGCCUAACACAUGCAAGUCGAGCGGAGCGGCGGACGGGUGAGUAAUGCCUAUGAAUCUGCCUGUUAGUGGGGGAUAACGUCCGGAACCGGGCGCUAAUACCGCAUACUAUCAGAUUCGCCUCUGUAGGAUUAGCUAGUUGGUGGGGUAAAGGCCUACCAAGGCGACGAUCCUUAACUGUUCUGAGAGGAUGAUCAGUCACACUGGAACUGAGACACGGUCCAGACGACUACGGGAGGCAGCAGUGGGGAAUAUUGGACAAUGGGCGAAAGCCUGAUACAGCCAUGCCGCGUGUGUGAAGAAGGUCGUCGGAUUGUAAAGCACUUUAAGUUGGGAGGCGUUACCAACAGAAUAAGCACCGGCUAACUUCGUGCCAGCAGCCGCGGUAAUAC